UACUCGAGUGGCGAACGGGUGAGUAACACGUGGGUGAUCUGCCCUGCACUUCGGGAUAAGCCUGGGAAACUGGGUCUAAUACCGGAUAGGAGCCAUUUUUAGUGUGAUGGUUGGAAAGUUUUUUCGGUGUAGGAUGAGCUCGCGGCCUAUCAGCUUGUUGGUGGGGUAAUGGCCUACCAAGGCGUCGACGGGUAGCCGGCCUGAGAGGGUGUACGGCCACAUUGGGACUGAGAUACGGCCCAG
rnacentral:rRNA from 1 species